CGCGUAGGCGGUCUUGUAAGUCAGAUGUGAAAGCCCGGGGCUUAACCCCGGAAGGGCAUUUGAUACUGCGAGACUUGAGUAUGGGAGGGGGAAGUGGAAUUCCUGGUGUAGAGGUGAAAUUCGUAGAUAUCAGGAGGAACACCAGUGGCGAAGGCGACUUCCUGGACCAAUACUGACGCUGAUGCACGAAGGCGUGGGGAGCAAACA
rnacentral:rRNA from 1 species